rnacentral:lncRNA from 1 species
UUGUCUUCCAUAAACACGGUUUUAACAAUGGGUCCAUAAAUGACUGUGGAGGCCAAUUCUGGAUCCACAUGUCCUUCCACAGUGGGGACAUUGUCUGGGCAGUGUGGGUUUGCCAAGUGUGCCUUCUUCUUGGCACGUUUCUCCUUUGUGUACUGAGUUCAACUGUCUUCAAAGCCAUGACACCUUUGGUAAACACCAAUUGGACACCAGUUGGAGCGCUCGCAGGCAAGUGUUUCCCAGUUGUUAGUGUUUAUACUACAUUUUUUAAGAUUUGCCUUGAGACAGUCUUUAAACCUCUUUUGUUGACCAGCAGCAUUACACUUUCCAUUUUUAUGUUCGGAAUAGAGUAGUUGCUUUGGAAGACGUCAGGCAUCCACACAACAUGACCAGUCCAAUGAAGUUGAUGUUGAAGAAUCAUCGCUUCAACACAGGUGAUCUUUGCUUCUUCCAGUACAGUGGCCUUAGUUCGCCUGUCUUCCCAAGUGAUGUGCAAAAGUUUUCAGAGACACCGUUGAUGGAAUCUUUCAAGGAAUUGGAGAUGGCGUUUAUAAGUGGUCCAUUUAUUUUUUGAAAUGAAACAAAAUUUACAGUAAGAUGGGAAAGAAUGUUUAUUUUUGUAUACUUCCACUUUAUAUUUUUUGGGGGGGGAUCCUACUUUUUCUGAUUGCAUUAUCAAAACUCAUCUUCCACGUUGCAUCUCCUUCUAUUCUUGAGAGAGAUAAGACUCUCAGCCUGCCUUUGUUGCAGAGUAGUUCUGUUGGGAUUUUGCAUAGACUUCAGCUGAGGAAAGGAAAGCUCAGCUGAGCAAUUAGUGACCAUUAAUGUGAAAAAUCCAGCAUGGGAAGUGUCUGAAUUGCCCCUUCCCUUGAUGCCCUGAGCAUGUGCUUAUUUUGCUGAAUGCUUAAUCCGGUCCUGGGUAAUGGCCUUGAGGGGUGGGCUAGGGCGCCAGUGUGUUCACGCCAGCCUGAGCAGGGGGCACCAUUCUCUCAACCCAGGGAACUUUGCUGAUCUGAGGAAGCUAGAUCUGUCUAGCUCAGUACAGAUGACACCGGCAUUUACCCAGGAGCAAGCCUCAUUGUAUUCAAAGGGAUUAACUUCUUCUGAGUAGGCCUGGUGAGGACUGUGCUAUGAGCUACAUAGCUGGGGGUCCCCGGUUCCAGCCUCUGCCCUUGUGUAAUUUGGUGUCUUUAGCUAGGCCCCUGUCUCAGCCUCAGGAGCCCCCACAGCUGCAAUAUGCCUACUUUACAGGGUUGUUGUAACCAUAUAGGGCUGCUGAGCAUCCUUGGCGCAGGCCAUGUUCCAUCACCUGAACCCUGUGCUGAAGUGCUGAGCAGCAAAGCACUCCUGGGAAUGCCCCUUAUCCUUCCCCCAGAAGAGUUGCUCCAACUCACACCCUCAACACCCACCCACUGCAGUUCAGGGAGGCUCCCCCACCCUCCUGCACAACUGGUAAUUAAACACACAUUUAGAUCCAGGCUGAAUCUGUGUGUGAUUGUAGCAAUUCUCAUCAGAUGGUGCAAAUCUGCUGGGACCUUGCCUGCCCCCUGAGCAAGAGGUGCAUAAAAACCUCUGAGUUCCAACUUCUGCCUUCUGUCUUUCCUGGGCAUCCUGCCUGUUGCCUGUUGACCACCCCAGGAGAUGCCCUCGCCUUCUACCAGCUGCUGCUGCUGCUGACACGGGAACAGGUAAAUACAGGGAAUCCUGUGGCUUCCAGAAACUGCUACUGAAUUUCAGAAAUGUCCUUGGAUCAAAAUGGGGAAAGGUAGCUGGGUUCCUCUUGAGGGUAUUGGGUAAGCCAACGUGAAGGUGAUUAAAGACUGAGGAUUGGAGUGGUUGUUCUGUGGUAUUAUGGCAGUGGACAAAGCUGUAAUGCAACUUUUGAAUAAAUGCAUGUUUAAUUUAAAAAAUAAUGUGGAAGAGGUGUGUCUGUCAAUUUUGGUUUCUCUCAGUUUCUCUUUUUUGAGUCUCAUUUUCCUUUGCCCCAUUUCUGCACCAGUUUGUGGUUUAUUUUUAAUGGGUGCACAGAAACACAGACACACUUUUGCCUACCGC